rnacentral:rRNA from 1 species
GCUCUCCCCAAGGACGAAGCCAUGCAUGCCCGCUCACCCGGGACGCGGCGGACGGCUCAGGACAACGGUUGCACCCCCCGCGGCGGUCCCUGCUAGCCGGACACCGCUGGCAACCCGGCGCCAAGACGUGGCCGCAAGGGCGGGCGCCCGCGCGCGAGCUGCGUGACGCAGCGACGGCCCGCCCGGGCUUCCGGGGCAUCACCCGGUCGGCGCGGUCGCGGCGCGCCGAGGGCCCG